rnacentral:rRNA from 1 species
UACGAAGGGGGCUAGCGUUGCUCGGAAUUACUGGGCGUAAAGGGCGCGUAGGCGGACAUUUAAGUUAGAGGUGAAAGCCCAGGGCUCAACCCUGGAAUAGCCUUUAAUACUGGAUGUCUUGAGUUCGGGAGAGGUGAGUGGAAUGGCCGAGUGUAGAAGGUGAAAUUCGUAGAUAUUCGGCGGAACACCAGUGGCGAAGGCGACUCACUGGCCCGAUACUGACGCUGAGGCGCGAAAGCGAUGGGGAG